rnacentral:rRNA from 1 species
UGCAAGUCGAGCGGCAGCAUGCUUCUCACUAAGGUUCGAAGCAGUUAAUAAGUUAGCAAGUCUAAAGUUAGCAAGUAGAAAUACUUGUUAACUUACCAACUUGUCCACUUUCUAACUAGCACUUCGUGCUUUCGUGAGAAGUGAUGGCGAGCGGCGGACGACAGAGUAACGCGUAGGAAUAUGCCCCAAAGUGAGGAAUAACUGCCCGAAAGGGUGGCUAAUGCCGCAUGUGAUCUUCGGAUUAAAGCUUUAUGCGCUUUGGGAGUUGCCUGCGUUGGAUUAGCUUGUUGGUGAGGUAAUGGCUCACCAAGGCGACGAUCCAUAACUGGUCUGAGAGGAUGAUCAGUCUGGCUGGAACUGAGACACGGUCCAGACUCCUACGGGAGGCAGCAGUAGGGAAUUUUCCACAAUGGGCGAAAGCCUGAUGGAGCAACGCCGCGUGCAGGAUGAAGGCCCUCGGGUCGUAAACUGCUUUUAUGUGAGAAGAAUAUGACGGUAACACAUGAAUAAGGGUCGGCUAACUACGUGCCAGCAGCCGCGGUCAUACGUAGGACCCAAGCGUUAUCCGGAAUUACUGGGCGUAAAGAGUUGCGUAGGUGGCAUUGUAAGUGGAGCGUGAAAGCGUGCGGCUCAACCGCAUUACUGCGUUCCAAACUGCAAAGCUUGAGUACGAGAGAGGUAGAUGGAAUUU